GUGAACGCUGGCGGCGUGCUUAACACAUGCAAGUCGAACGGUAACAGGAAGUAGCUUGCUACUUUGCUGACGAGUGGCGCACGGGUGAGUAAACUAUAGUUAAUGUGCCUCGAAGACUGGGAUAGCCACUGGAAACGGUGAUUAAUACCAGAUACUCCUUCUCGUUAUAAGACGAGUCGGGAAAGUUUUUUCGCUAAGAGAUCAGUCUAUGUCCUAUCAGCUAGUUGGUGAGGUAAUGGCUCACCAAGGCUAUGACGGGUAUCUGGUUUGAGAGGAUGAUCAGACACACUGGAACUGAGACACGGUCCAGACUCCUACGGGAGGCAGCAGUGAGGAAUAUUGCACAAUGGGGGGAACCCUGAUGCAGCAACGCCGCGUGGAGGAUGACGCAUUUCGGUGUGUAAACUCCUUUUAUAUGUCAAGAAAAUGACGGUAGCAUAUGAAUAAGCACCGGCUAACUCCGU
rnacentral:rRNA from 1 species